GUGGGGGAUAUUGCACAAUGGGGGAAACCCUGAUGCAGCGACGCCGCGUGAAGGAAGACGUACUUCGGUAUGUAAACUUCUAUCAGCAGGGAAGAAGAUGACGGUACCUGACUAAGAAGCCCCGGCUAACUACGUGCCAGCAGCCGCGGUAAUACGUAGGGGGCAAGCGUUAUCCGGAUUUACUGGGUGUAAAGGGAGCGUAGACGGUGAAGCAAGUCUGAUGUGAAAACCCGGGGCUCAACUCCGGGAUUGCAUUGGAAACUGUUUUACUUGAGUGCUGGAGGGGCAAGUGGAAUUCCUGGUGUAGCGGUGAAAUGCGUAGAUAUCAGGAAGAACACCGGUGGCGAAGGCGGCUUGCUGGACAGUAACUGACGUUGAGGCUCGAAAGCGUGGGGAGCAAACAGGAUUAGAAACCCUGGUAGUCC
rnacentral:rRNA from 1 species